AUGGCUGUCGUCAGCUCGUGUCGUGAGAUGUUGGGUUAAGUCCCGCAACGAGCGCAACCCACGUCGUUAGUUGCCAGCAUUUAGUUGGGCACUCUAGCGAGACCGCCGGUGAUAAACCGGAGGAAGGUGUGGAUGACGUCAAGUCAUCAUGCCCCUUACAUCCUGGGCUACACACGUACUACAAUGCUACGGACAAAGGGCAGCAAACUCGCGAGAGCUAGCAAAUCCCAUAAACCGUGGCUCAGUUCAGAUCGUAGGCUGCAACUCGCCUACGUGAAGGAGGAAUCGCUAGUAAUCGCAGGUCAGCAUACUGCGGUGAAUACGUUCCCGGGCCUUGUACACACCGCCCGUGGGGCGGGGGCGGCGGGCCGGGCGCGGGGCGCGGCGGGCG
rnacentral:rRNA from 1 species